UACGUAGGGCGCAAGCGUUGUCCGGAAUUAUUGGGCGUAAAGAGCUCGUAGGCGGUCUGUCGCGUCUGCCGUGAAAACCCGAGGCUUAACCUCGGGCUGGCGGUGGAUACGGGCAGACUAGAGGUAGGUAGGGGAGAACGGAAUUCCUGGUGUAGCGGUGAAAUGCGCAGAUAUCAGGAGGAACACCGGUGGCGAAGGCGGUUCUCUGGGCAUGAUCUGACGCUGAGGAGCGAAAGUGUGGGGAGCGAACAGG
rnacentral:rRNA from 1 species